AUGAUGUUUAUGCUCAGGGAGAAGUUCAAGACCCAUGAAUGGAUAUUGUUAAGCUUGUACAUCUCCGACCCAGAUGUUGAUGAUAUUGAGACUGAGCAGAGCAUGGUGGUUUACGAAAUCAACCUGGGCAGGCGUUCUGAACUAUAUGUUGUCAACUUCAUGCUGCCUGUCCUGUUCUUCUUGGGUCUGGACUUGGCCUCCUUCCUGAUCUCAGACAAAGGGAGCGAAAAGCUCAGCUUCAAGGUCACUGUGCUGCUUUCUGUCACUGUGAUGCAGCUUAUUCUGAGUGAAAUACUUCCUUCUACUUCAAACAGGAUUCCACUUAUAGCAACCUACAUCAUGGGGAUUUUUGGAUUGAUGAUGCUCAGCCUCCUGGAGACGAUUUUGGUGAAGUAUCUGUUGGAGAAAGACUCGAAAGAAAAUGAGCCGAACAGAGGCCAAAGCCUGAGUGAGGACUGUGAGGACAAACGAGGCAAAGUCAGCCUUAACAACUGCUGUAGAGGCAUUCACUCUGCCUGUGUCUGUGAUGUGUCUGCCAGUGAAACACCACCGGAACUGCUGCCAGUGGGCCAAGAGGUCAGCUGCAGCCAACUGACGGAGGAGUCUCAUGACUCUGAAAAGCUGUCAGAGGAGCUGAGAGAGGUGGUGAAAACGCUGUCUCUGCUGCUCAACUGCAGGAAGGAAGAAACGAAGCCUGGCUACUGGACCAUAGUGUCGAACAAAAUCAACAAAGUUUUCUUUAUUUUCUAUGUCAUAGCUGUCACUCUGUUUUUAAUCUAUAUGCUUGUCUGUUGGAAUGCAGAAUAG
rnacentral:lncRNA from 1 species